AUCGAACGCUGGCGGCAUGCCUAACACAUGCAAGUCGAACGGAUAGAGCGAGCUUGCUCCUGGAUCCAGCGGCGAACGUGUGAGUAAUGCCUAUGAGUCUGCCGUAUAUUGCUGUAUAACUUCCUCAGACGGGCUCUAAUACUACAUACUUCGUGAUCGAGAAAUUUGGUGGUCUUCGGACCGCUCGCUAUCAUAUGAGCCUAGUUCGGAUUAGCUAGUUUGUGGGGUAGAUGCCUACCAAGGCGACGAUCCGUAACUGGUCUGAGAGGAUGAUCAGUCACACGGGAAGUGAGACACGGUCCAGACUCCUACGGGAGGACGCAGUGGGGAAUAUUGGACAAGGGGGGAGAGGAUGAUACAGCCAUGCGGCGUGUGUGAAGACGGUCUUACGAUUGGAAAGCACUUUAAGUUGGGAGGAAGGGCAGUAAGUUAAUACGUUGCUGUUUUGACGUUACCAAGAGAAUAAGCACCGGCUAACUUCGUG
rnacentral:rRNA from 1 species